GAUGAACGCUAGCGGCAGGCUUAACACAUGCAAGUCGAGGGGUAGAAUUAGCUUGCUAAUUUGAGACCGGCGCACGGGUGCGUAACGCGUAUGCAACCUACCUUUCACAAAGGGAUAGCCCAGAGAAAUUUGGAUUAAUACCUUAUAGUAUAUAUGAAUCGCAUGGUUUAUAUAUUAAAGUUCCAACGGUGAAAGAUGGG
rnacentral:rRNA from 1 species